rnacentral:rRNA from 1 species
UUCUGCCCUAUGAUUAUUUAAAUGGCUGCAGUAUUUUGACUGUACAAAGGUAGCAUAAUAAUUAGUUAAUUAAUUGUUGACUGGCAUGAACGAGUACAUGAGGAAAAACUUUUAUUAAUAUUAAUAUUAAAAUUUUAUUUUUAAGUAAAAAAGCUUAAGUUAUUUUUAGGGACGAUAAGACCCUAAAGAACUUUAAUUUAAUAUUAAAUUUAUUUUAUUUUUGUAAUUAAUAAUUAUUAAUUGUUGUUAAAUUUUUGUUGGGGUGACAGAUAAAUUUUACUUUAUCUUUUCUUUUCAUUUAAUAAAUGUACAAUUGAUCUUAUAGUUUAGGUUGAAAGAUUAAGUUACCUUAGGGAUAACAGCGUAAUUUUAGUGGGGAGUUCUUAUUCAUACUGAAGUUUGCGACCUCGAUGUUGAAUUAAGAUUAAUAAAGGGGGCAG